rnacentral:rRNA from 1 species
AUACGGAGGACGCGAGCGUUAUCCGUAUUCAUUGGGUUUAAAGGGUGCGCAGGCGGCCGUGCAAGUCAGCGGUGAAAGCCCGGGGCUCAACCCCGGAAGUGCCGUUGAUACUGCAUGGCUGGAAUGCGGUCGAGGCGGGCGGAACGUGGCGUGUAGCGGUGAAAUGCGUAGAUAUGCCGCAGAACGCCGAUAGCGGAGGCAGCUCGCCAGGCCUGCAUUGACGCUCGGGCACGAAAGCGUGGGGAUCGAACAGGAUUAGAUACCCUGGUAGUCCACGCCGUAAACGAUGGGCGCUCGUCGUCGGCGGCAGACAGUCGGCGGCCAAGCGAAAGCGAUAAGCGCCCCACCUGGGGAGUACGGUCGCAAGGCUGAAACUUAAAGGAAUUGACGGGG